rnacentral:rRNA from 1 species
GACGAACGCUGGCGGCGUGCUUAACACAUGCAAGUCGAACGGAAAGGCCCUGCUUGCAGGGUACUCGAGUGGCGAACGGGUGAGUAACACGUGGGUGGUCUGCCCUGCACUUCGGGAUAAGCCUGGUAAACUGGGUCGAGUUCCGGACAGGUGCCAUUUUGAGUGGGAUGGUUGGAAAGUUUUUUCGGUGUAGUAUGAGCUCGCGGCCUAUCAGCUUGGUGGUGGUGUAAUGGCCUACCAAGGCGGCUACGGGUAGCCGGCCUGGGAGGGUGGACGGCCACCCUGGGACUGACAUAAGGCCCCGACUCCUACGGGAGGCAGCAGUGGGGAAUAUUGACCAAUCGGCGCAAGCCUGAUGCAGCGACGCCGCGUAGGGGAUGACGGCCUUCGGGUUGUAAACUCCUUUCGCUAGGGACGAAGCUUUUUGUGACGGUACCUAGAUAAAAAGCCCCGGCUAACUACGUG